UAGCGGCGAGCGAAGCGGGAAGAGCUCAAAUUUAUAAUCUGGCACCUUCGGUGUCCGAGUUGUAAUCUCUAGAAAUGUUUUCCGCGUUGGACCGCACACAAGUCUGUUGGAAUACAGCGGCAUAGUGGUGAGACCCCCGUAUAUGGUGCGGACGCCCAGCGCUUUGUGAUACAUUUUCGAAGAGUCGAGUUGUUUGGGAAUGCAGCUCAAAUUGGGUGGUAAAUUCCAUCUAAAGCUAAAUAUUGGCGAGAGACCGAUAGCGAACAAGUACCGUGAGGGAAAGAUGAAAAGCACUUUGGAAAGAGAGUUAACAGUACGUGAAAUUGUUGGAAGGGAAACGCUUGAAGUCAGACUUGCUUGCUGAGCAAUCGGUUUGCAGGCCAGCAUCAGUUUUCCGGGAUGGAUAAUGGUAGAGAGAAGGUAGCAGUUUCGGCUGUGUUAUAGCUCUCUGCUGGAUACAUCUUGGGGGACUGAGGAACGCAGUGUGCCUUUGGCGGGGGUUUCGACCUCUUCACACUUAGGAUGCUGGUGGAAUGGCUUUAAACGACCCGUCUU
rnacentral:rRNA from 1 species